ensembl:snRNA U6 U6 spliceosomal RNA
CUUUUUAAGAAAUAGACUCUAUACUGAAAUGGGAACACUACAGGAAAGAUUAUCAUGAGCCCUGUGCAAGAAUGAUAUGCAAAUGUGUACAGAUUUUU